UAAGCGUACACGGUGGAUGCCCUGGCAGUCAGAGGCGAUGAAGGGCGUGCUAAUCUGCGAUAAGCGCCGGUAAGGUGAUAUGAACCGUUAUAACCGGCGAUACCCGAAUGGGGAAACCCAGUGUGACUCGUCACACUAUCAUUAACUGAAUCCAUAGGUUAAUGAGGCGAACCGGGGGAACUGAAACAUCUAAGUACCCCGAGGAAAAGAAAUCAACCGAGAUUCCCCCAGUAGCGGCGAGCGAACGGGGAGGAGCCCAGAGCCUGAAUCAGCAUGUGUGUUAGUGGAAGCGUCUGGAAAGGCGCGCGAUACAGGGUGACAGCCCCGUACACAAAAGCGCAUGUGCUGUGAGCUCGAUGAGUAGGGCGGGACACGUGGUAUCCUGUCUGAAUAUGGGGGGACCAUCCUCCAAGGCUAAAUACUCCUGACUGACCGAUAGUGAACCAGUACCGUGAGGGAAAGGCGAAAAGAACCCCGGCGAGGGGAGUGAAAAAGAACCUGAAACCGUGUACGUACAAGCAGUGGGAGC
rnacentral:rRNA from 1 species